UAACGCGUAGAAUUUACCAAAAGGACUGGGACAACCACUGGAAACGGUGGCUAAUACCGGAUGAACCGAAAAGUAAAAAGGGAAACCUGCCUUUUGAAGAGCUCGCGUCUGAUUAGCUAGUUGGUGAGGUAAGAGCUCACCAAGGCAGCGAUCAGUAGCUGGUCUGAGAGGAUGACCAGCCACACUGGGACUGAGACACGGCCCAGACUCCUACGGGAGGCAGCAGUGGGGAAUUUUCCGCAAUGGGCGAAAGCCUGACGGAGCAAUACCGCGUGAGGGAAGAAGGCUCUUGGGUCGUAAACCUCUUUUAUCAGGGAAGAAAAAAAUGACGGUACCUGAAGAAUCAGCCUCGGCUAACUCCGUGCCAGCAGCCGCGGUAAUACGGAGGAGGCAAGCGUUAUCCGGAAUUAUUGGGCGUAAAGCGUCCGCAGGUGGCUUAUCAAGUCUGCUGUCAAAGAGUGGGGCUUAACCCCAUUAAGGCAGUGGAAACUGAGAAGCUAGAGUGCCGUAGGGGUAGAGGGAAUUCCCGGUGUAGCGGUGAAAUGCGUAGAGAUCGGGAAGAACAUCGGUGGCGAAAGCGCUCUACUGGACGGCAACUGACA
rnacentral:rRNA from 1 species